GUAUCAUAAUUUUAUUACAGAGCCAGUCCCAGAACACCGCCAAACCAACAGCUGGUCAGGCCCGGUGACGGCGCUAGGUCCGUACAUCCGGGUAUACACUGACCGCGCUUGCGGCGGGCCGGACGCAGUUUUAAUAUCUGCGGCCCGAUACCGUGCGAGUACCGCCGGGCAGCCGGCCAGACAACCGGGGUCUGCCCCAUGACGCGCGAUAAAACGCGACACGAGAUAGGCAUCAUCCCGGGCCGUAGACCGACACCCAACGGGUCGCGACGUCCUACUAGGGGAGAAGUGCACGCCGACGACAACAGGCAAUAAAAACCAUGCGGACGCGUGCCACGAUACCGAGGUACCGAAGCAUCGCGAACCGCACACGUACCCGUAUCGCUGACGAUGAAUCUCCCCAUUCGAUCUUUUGGGUUUCUCAGG
rnacentral:rRNA from 1 species